GCUUCUAGAUGAUACAGAGUCGGCUAAUAAUGGUGUUUCACUGGGCAUUGGAGUUGUAUCAGGGAAUGAGAGUGACAUGUCACAAGAUGCAUUUAGCUCCAAAGGAUCAGUGGUGGAUUACACAGGCACGGGGACCCCUGCUAGUAAUGACCUGUCCCCCAUCAGCCAAACCUCCCCUAUCAGUAUGAGCCCCCCUGUCCCCCGGGGUCAGCCCACAAAGCUCCGAGGUAAACAGCCCCAUAGCAGGGACCAUUGGUAAAGAGGUCCGCAUGAAGAUCCACAGCAGGAGGUUCAGGGAGUACUGUAACCAGGUCCUCAAUAAGGACAUUGACAGCUGCUGUACCCAUCUCUUACAGGAUCUGGUCCGCUUCCAGGACAGAAUGUACCACAAGGACCCGGUCAAGGCCAAAACCAAGAGAAGAAUUGUGUUAGGUCUGAGGGAAGUUACCAAGCACCUGAAACUGAACAAAAUAAAGCUAGUCAUCA